rnacentral:rRNA from 1 species
AUUGAACGCUGGCGGCAGGCUUAACACAUGCAAGUCGAGCGGAGCGAGGGUGCUUGCACCUUAGCUUAGCGGCGGACGGGUGAGUAAUGCUUAGGAAUCUGCCUAUUAGUGGGGGACAACAUUCCGAAAGGAAUGCUAAUACCGCAUACGCCCUACGGGGGAAAGCAGGGGAUCUUCGGACCUUGCGCUAAUAGAUGAGCCUAAGUCGGAUUAGCUAGUUGGUGGGGUAAAGGCCUACCAAGGCGACGAUCUGUAGCGGGUCUGAGAGGAUGAUCCGCCAAACUGGGACUGGAACACGGCCCAGACUCCUACGGGAGGCAGCAGUGGGGAAUAUUGGACAAUGGGCGGAAGCCUGAUCCAGCCAUGCCGCGUGUGUGAAGAAGGCCUUUUGGUUGUAAAGCACUUUAAGCGAGGAGGAGGCUACUUAGAUUAAUACUCUAGGAUAGUGGACGUUACUCGCAGAAUAAGCACCGGCUAACUCUGUGCCAGCCGCCGCGGUAAUAC